CAAACAUGUCACAGUAAUCAAUACCAUCUGUGUUAAGAUGUCGGGAAUGUGUUAGACGAAUGAUUUUGUUUUAUGGAGCUUUGAAGAGCGAUGAAUGGCACUAAAGUGGUGCCAAAUGGAUAUCUCAAACACCCAUUGUUGAUGUGUGAUGCUGAUAAUACAGAGACAGCUAGAGUGACAGAGUUUGAUGAAUAAACUUAAAUUAAAAAACAGAAAUAACCACCAUCUCUCUCAGAGGUCAUCUUUCUCAUUAUUGUGGGGAAACCUCAAAGGGCAUCAGGAAAACCUUCAUCAACCUCUUUGUGCCCAGUGGCUUGUGCAACAGUGUUUCAGAAAUUAUCAUUAAAAUGGGGAUAAUGGAUGACUGGCCACACAUAUGGGGCUAUGGACAAGCUUCAUAGCAGGCUGCCAGGUGGUGGUGUUAGUAGUUUAUACUCCGGGUCCCGGCGUGAGCACAUUGAAGGGUCCCUGAGAGUGACAGUUCAACCACCGCACACCUAUCCUGGGCAGAACCAGUACUAGGUGCCUUCACCUCUGCAAGGAACUGACAACUUCUGUACAUGCCAGGUGCAGUGGUACAGUGCGAAUGGUCGUAGAAAGGAUUUCAUAACCAAUCACAACAGAGGUGACCUGGUCCGCCCGGGAAUCAAACCCGGGUUGUCCAAUUCAGAGUCCAACGCUCUACCGAUUGAGCUGACCGGGCGGACAUAUUAGCUACAUUAGAUGACAAGCCAUCUAUGCUGGACAUUCUUCACAAUAAAAUGUGAUGUCACAGGAGCUGUCUAUCUCAACAGCUCACACUGUCCGUAUUUGACUA